UUGGAAGGGUAGCGAAGAGGCUAAACGCGGCGGACUGUAAAUCCGCUCCUUCGGGUUCGGGGGUUCGAAUCCUGUCUUCCCGAU
rnacentral:tRNA from 1 species